UUUUUUGGGUGUGUGUUCCGUGUUUUGUGUUUAACAGUGCGUAUCUGUAUUUCCUUUAUUUUGUUGUUAAUGAAGAAAGGAUAAAGAGGGGAUGGUCCUUCUCCCUCCUCGCAUUUCCCCCCACUGUUGUUGUGACAUCGUUAGUGUGGCUUCGCCUUAUCAUUAUAGUCACUGCGGUGGUGACAAAGCGUGGCGGCACAACGAUAGCUUCCUCCAUGACUCUUCUAAGAUUGAUGCUUCUCU
rnacentral:lncRNA from 1 species